rnacentral:rRNA from 1 species
GUGGGGAAUAUUGGACAAUGGGCGAAAGCCUGAUCCAGCCAUGCCGCGUGAGUGAUGAAGGCCUUAGGGUUGUAAAGCUCUUUCAGUAGGGAAGAUAAUGACGGUAGUCGGAGAAGAAGCCCCGGCUAACUUCGUGCCAGCAGCCGCGGUAAUACGAAGGGGGCUAGCGUUGUUCGGAUUUACUGGGCGUAAAGCGCACGUAGGCGGUUUGUUAAGUCAGGGGUGAAAUCCCGGAGCUCAACUCCGGAACUGCCUUUGAUACUGGCAAGCUAGAGUCCGGAAGAGGUAAGUGGAACUCCUAGUGUAGAGGUGGAAUUCGUAGAUAUUAGGAAGAACACCAGUGGCGAAGGCGGCUUACUGGUCCGGAACUGACGCUGAGGUGCGAAAGCGUGGGGAGCAAACAGGAUUAGAAACCCCAGUAGUCC